rnacentral:rRNA from 1 species
GUGCCAGCAGCCGCGGUAAUACGUAGGUGGCAAGCGUUGUCCGGAAUUAUUGGGCGUAAAGCGCGCGCAGGCGGUUCCUUAAGUCUGAUGUGAAAGCCCCCGGCUCAACCGGGGAGGGUCAUUGGAAACUGGGGAACUUGAGUACUGAAGAGGAAAGCGGAAUUCCACGUGUAGCGGUGAAAUGCGUAGAGAUGUGGAGGAACACCAGUGGCGAAGGCGGCUUUCUGGUCAGUAACUGACGCUGAGGCGCGAAAGCGUGGGGAGCAAACAGGAUUAGAAACCCCGGUAGUCC